rnacentral:rRNA from 1 species
UACGGGGGGGGCAAGCGUUGUUCGGAAUUACUGGGCGUAAAGGGCUCGUAGGUGGCCAACUAAGUCAGACGUGAAAUCCCUCGGCUUAACCGGGGAACUGCGUCUGAUACUGGAUGGCUUGAGAUUGGGAGAGGGACGCGGAAUUCCAGGUGUAGCGGUGAAAUGCGUAGAUAUCUGGAGGAACACCGGUGGCGAAGGCGGGACUCUGGGCCGAUACUGACGCUGAGGAGCGAAAGCGUGGGGAGCAAACAGG